GAUGAACGCUGGCGGCGUGCCUAAUACAUGCAAGUCGAGCGAACGGACGAGAAGCUUGCUUCUCUGAUGUUAGCGGCGGACGGGUGAGUAACACGUGGAUAACCUACCUAUAAGACUGGGAUAACUUCGGGAAACCGGAGCUAUUACCGGAUAAUAUUUUGAACCGCAUGGUUCAAAAGUGAAAGACGGUCUUGCUGUCACUUAUAGAUGGAUCCGCGCUGCAUUAGCUAGUUGGUAAGGUAACGGCUUACCAAGGCAACGAUGCAUAGCCGACCUGAGAGGGUGAUCGGCCACUCUGGAACUGAGACACGGUCCAGACUCCUACGGGAGGCAGCAGUAGGGAAUCUUCCGCAAUGGGCGAAAGCCUGACGGAGCAACGCCGCGUGAGUGAUGAAGGUCUUCGGAUCGUAAAACUCUGUUAUUAGGGAAGAACAUAUGUGUAAGUAACUGUGCACAUCUUGACGGUACCUAAUCAGAAAGCCACGGCUAACUACGUGCCAGCAGCCGCGGUAAUACGUAGGUGGCAAGCGUUAUCCGGAAUUAUUGGGCGUAAAGCGCGCGUAGGCGGUUUUUUAAGUCUGAUGUGAAAGCCCACGGCUCAACCGUGGAGGGUCAUUGGAAACUGGAAAACUUGAGUGCAGAAGGGGAAAGUGGAAUUCCAUGUGUAGCGGUGAAAUGCGCAGAGAUAUGGAGGAACACCAGUGGCGAAGGCGACUUUCUGGUCUGUAACUGACGCUGAUGUGCGAAAGCGUGGGGAUCAAACAGGAUUAGAUACCCUGGUAGUCCACGCCGUAAACGAUGAGUGCUAAGUGUUAGGGGGUUUCCGCCCCUUAGUGCUGCAGCUAACGCAUUAAGCACUCCGCCUGGGGAGUACGACCGCAAGGUUGAAACUCAAAGGAAUUGACGGGGACCCGCACAAGCGGUGGAGCAUGUGGUUUAAUUCGAAGCAACGCGAAGAACCUUACCAAAUCUUGACAUCCUUUGACAACUCUAGAGAUAGAGCCUUCCCCUUCGGGGGACAAAGUGACAGGUGGUGCAUGGUUGUCGUCAGCUCGUGUCGUGAGAUGUUGGGUUAAGUCCCGCAACGAGCGCAACCCUUAAGCUUAGUUGCCAUCAUUAAGUUGGGCACUCUAAGUUGACUGCCGGUGACAAACCGGAGGAAGGUGGGGAUGACGUCAAAUCAUCAUGCCCCUUAUGAUUUGGGCUACACACGUGCUACAAUGGACAAUACAAAGGGCAGCGAAACCGCGAGGUCAAGCAAAUCCCACAAAGUUGUUCUCAGUUCGGAUUGUAGUCUGCAACUCGACUACAUGAAGCUGGAAUCGCUAGUAAUCGUAGAUCAGCAUGCUACGGUGAAUACGUUCCCGGGUCU
rnacentral:rRNA from 1 species